GAUGAAGAACGUAGCGAAAUGCGAUAAGUAAUGUGAAUUGCAGAAUUCAGUGAAUCAUCGAAUCUUUGAACGCACAUUGCGCCCGCCAGUAUUCUGGCGGGCAUGCCUGUUCGAGCGUCAUUUCAACCAUCAAGCCCCAGGCUUGUGUUGGGGACCUGCGGCUGCCGCAGGCCCUGAAAACCAGUGGCGGGCUCGCUGUCACACCGGGCGUAGUAGAUUUUAUCUCGCUCAGGGCGUGCUGCGGGUUCCGGCCGUUAAAAAGCCUUUUUUACCCAAGGUUGACCUCGGAUCAGGUAGGACUACCCGCUGAACUUAAGCAUAUCAAUAAGCGGAGGA
rnacentral:misc_RNA from 1 species